AGGGUUUGAUCAUGGCUCAGAACGUACGCUGGCGGCACGCCUAACACAUGCAAGUCGAACGAAGUAGCAAUACUGAGUGGCAAACGGGUGAGUAUAAUGUGGGAAUCUGCCUUUUGGUUUGGAAUAACACGGGGAAACUUGUGCUAAUACCGAAUAAGCCCUUACGGGGAAAGUUUUAAUGCCGAAAGAUGAGCCCGCACUUGAUUAGCUAGUUGGUAAGGUAAAAGCUUACCAAGGCAACGAUCAAUAGCUGUUCUUAGAGGAAGACCAGCCACAUUGGGACUGAGACACGGCCCAGACUCCUACGGGAGGCAGCAGUGGGGAAUCUUGCACAAUGGGGGAAACCCUGAUGCAGCGAUGCCGCGUGAGUGAAGAAGGCCUUUGGGUUGUAAAACUCUUUCGUCGGGGAAGAAAAUGACUGUACCCGAAUAAGAAGGUCCGGCUAACUUCGUGCCAGCAGCCGCGGUAAUACGAAGGGACCUAGCGUAGUUCGGAAUUACUGGGCUUAAAGAGCUCGUAGGUGGUUAAAAAAGUUGAUGGUGAAAUCCCAAGGCUUAACCUUGGAACUGCCAUCAAAACUUUUUAGCUAGAGUGUGAUAGAGGUAAGUGGAAUUUCUAGUGUAGAGGUGAAAUUCGUAGAUAUUAGAAAGAACAUCAAAUGCGAAGGCAACUUACUGGGUCACUACUGACACUGAGGAGCGAAAGCAUGGGUAGCGAAGAGGAUUAGAUACCCUCGUAGUCCAUGCCGUAAACGAUGUGUGCUAGACGUUGGAAAUAUAUUUUUCAGUGUCGCAGCGAAAGCAUUAAGCACACCGCCUGGGGAGUACGACCGCAAGGUUAAAACUCAAAUGAAUUGACGGGGACCCGCACAAGCAGUGGAGCAUGUGGUUUAAUUCGAUGCAACGCGAAAAACCUUACCUACACUUGACAUACUUGGUAUCUUCUGUAAUCGAAGAGUGCCUUUUGGAACCAAGAUACAGGUGCUGCAUGGCUGUCGUCAGCUCGUGUCGUGAGAUGUUGGGUUAAGUCCCAUAACGAGCGCAACCCUUACCCUUAUUUGCCAGCGACUCGGUCGGGAACUAUAAGGGGACUGCCGGUGAUAAACCGGAGGAAGGUGAGGACGACGUCAAGUCAUCAUGGCCCUUACGUGUAGGGCUACACACGUGCUACAAUGGGGAGUACAGAUGGACGCUAAAGCGCGAGCUGGUGCUAAUCCCAAAAAACUCCUCGUAGUCCGGAUUGCAGUCUGCAACUCGACUGCAUGAAGUCGGAAUCGCUAGUAAUCGCGAAUCAGCAUGUCGCGGUGAAUACGUUCUCGGGUCUUGUACACACCGCCCGUCACACCAUGGGAGUGUAUUGCACCAGAAGUGGGUAGUCUAACCUUUCGGAGGACGCUCACCACGGUGUGAUCCAUGACUGGGGUGAAGUCAUAACAAGGUAACCGUA
rnacentral:rRNA from 1 species